rnacentral:lncRNA from 1 species
GUUCACAAAUCUUUACUUGUGAAAAUAAACAGAAAUGAGUACAAGGAAGAAGAUUCAGAAGAAAGAGACCAUGGAGAAGAUAGUGAUACUUAUAAAGAUGAUGAUGAGGAUGAUGAGCUGGAGGCUUCUGGCUGGGACUUACAUGAAGAGGCUAAUUUAGUGCCACAAAUGACUCCAUCUCUCUGCCUUCAAGUAAAAGAAGCAGAAUCACCUCUGCAAGAAAACAAAAUAAUUCUGCAUCACCUUGGUGGUGAUCCUGCCAUCCUGCAGUGAUGGAGAUUUUGCUCUCAUUGAGUCUGUCUGGAUUAUUUCUGGUUCAUGGACAAUCUGGUUUAUUCCUGUCUUCAUAUCAUCUGGACCUCUUUCCUGGUGGUAAGUGCUGAGGAGAUGCUGUCAUUGUGUUCUGGGUUGGAUGUCUUUGGAAAUCUGGGAAUAUUCUGACAAAUUUCUUCCUUCUCGACCCUUAAUGAUCCAAUCAACUAUAGGCCAGUCUGGAUGGCAUGGAUGAGAAGGUUGCCUGAGUCAUAUUCUAUACUUCUAACACAAUUGUCACCCUCAAGUUGACUAGUUUGCA